GGGAAGGUGGCUCAGUGGUAGAGCGCUUGCCUCGCAUGCAUGAAGCCCUCCGUUCUA
rnacentral:tRNA from 1 species